AGCUCGUAGGCGGUCUGUCGCGUCGGCUGUGAAAACCCGAGGCUCAACCUCGGGCCUGCAGUCGAUACGGGCAAACUAGAGUACUGCAGGGGAGACUGGAAUUCCUGGUGUAGCGGUGAAAUGCGCAGAUAUCAGGAGGAACACCGGUGGCGAAGGCGGGUCUCUGGGCAGUAACUGACGCUGAGGAGCGAAAGCGUGGGGAGCGAACAGGAUUAGAUACCCUGGUAGUCCACGCCGUAAACGUUGGGCGCUAGAUGUGGGGCUCAUUCCACGAGUUCCGUGUCGCAGCUAACGCAUUAAGCGCCCCGCCUGGGGAGUACGGCCGCAAGGCUAAAACUCAAAGGAAUUGACUGGGGCCCGCACAAGCGGCGGAGCAUGUUGCUUAAUUCGAUGCAACGCGAAGAACCUUACCUAGGCUUGACAUGCACGGAAAUCUCCCAGAGAUGGGAGGUCCUUUAAAGGGUCGUGCACAGGUGGUGCAUGGUUGUCGUCAGCUCGUGUCGUGAGAUGUUGGGUUAAGUCCCGCAACGAGCGCAACCCUCGUUCUAUGUUGCCAGCACGUCAUGGUGGGGACUCAUAGGAGACUGCCGGGGUCAACUCGGAGGAAGGUGGGGAUGACGUCAAAUCAUCAUGCCCCUUAUGUCUAGGGCUGCAAACAUGCUACAAUGGCCGGUACAAAGGGCUGCGAUACCGCGAGGUGGAGCGAAUCCCAAAAAGCCGGUCUCAGUUCGGAUUGGGGUCUGCAACUCGACCCCAUGAAGUUGGAGUCGCUAGUA
rnacentral:rRNA from 1 species